ACACAUGCAGUCGAGCGCCCCGCAAGGGGAGCGGCAGACGGGUGAGUAACGCGUGGGAAUCUACCGUGCCCUACGGAAUAGCUCCGGGAAACUGGAAUUAAUACCGUAUACGCCCUACGGGGGAAAGAUUUAUCGGGGUAUGAUGAGCCCGCGUUGGAUUAGCUAGUUGGUGGGGUAAAGGCCUACCAAGGCGACGAUCCAUAGCUGGUCUGAGAGGAUGAUCAGCCACAUUGGGACUGAGACACGGCCCAAACUCCUACGGGAGGCAGCAGUGGGGAAUAUUGGACAAUGGGCGCAAGCCUGAUCCAGCCAUGCCGCGUGAGUGAUGAGGGUCUUAGGAUUGUAAAGCUCUUUCACCGGAGAAGAUAAUGACGGUAUCCGGAGAAGAAGCCCCGGCUAACUUCGUGCCAGCAGCCGCGGUAAUACGAAGGGGGCUAGCGUUGUUCGGAAUUACUGGGCGUAAAGCGCACGUAGGCGGAUAUUUAAGUCAGGGGUGAAAUCCCAGAGCUCAACUCUGGAACUGCCUUUGAUACUGGGUAUCUUGAGUAUGGAAGAGGUGAGUGGAAUUCCGAGUGUAGAGGUGAAAUUCGUAGAUAUUCGGAGGAACACCAGUGGCGAAGGCGGCUCACUGGUCCAUUACUGACGCUGAGGUGCGAAAGCGUGGGGAGCAAACAGGAUUAGAUACCCUGAUAGUCCACGCCGUAAACGAUGAAUGUUAGCCGUCGGGCAGUAUACUGUUCGGUGGCGCAGCUAACG
rnacentral:rRNA from 1 species